rnacentral:sRNA from 1 species
GCCAGACAUGGUGGUGCAUGCUUGUAAUCCCAGCAACUUAGGAGGCUGAGACAGGAGGAUCACGUUUGAGGCCAGCCUUGGCAACUUAGUGAGACUCUGUCUCAA